CUUUUCUCCCCACCCCACCCCUGCCCCUCAUGGGAUUCCCUCUCUUUCUCUGCUCCCCUCGCUCACUUGUGCCCUCUCUCUCUCAAAAUAGAUAGUGGCCUCUCUCUCAAGGCCACUGACUUGGCCUUGAAAGCUCAAAGCUCUCCAACAGACGUGGGCAGAUUCGGCCUCUGUCUCUCCCUGUGCGUACUCAGGGUGGGGAACCACCUCGGUGUCAGUGCCUCGUGCCUUCUGCCCGGUGAAGGGAGCGCCCAGGGUAGCUCUGCAGUCUUCCCUUGGUGAUUUUUGUACACGCAGCGCAGCUGGGCCGGCCCCGGGUCGCACCGAGCUCCAGGAUCAGUGACAAUGGACAACGCAUCUUCAUCCUGACUUGUGUGGCAGAAAGCAGAGGAACCUCUGUGGCCUACAGCCGGAUGCCUCUGGGACCCCGGACCCCUGUGUCCCGCGGAGGGUCUGUCCUCGGUGUCUCCUUGAGGCCCCGGGGACAGUGCUGUGGCCUUCACCCGCGCGGUCCAGGACGCAGUCAGUAACAGCGGCUCCCUCCCCGUCUCAGCGCUGCCCUUGUGGGCAGGGCCAGGGAUCCUGGGAGGGGACAGUGUUCGAUCAGGUCCCCAAGGCUGCAGGGCCCUGGCCCCUCCGGAGCCUGGAUAACUCUGCCUAUUUGUCAACGCCGCCAAGGAUCUCACCCUGCGGG